rnacentral:rRNA from 1 species
UGGGGAAUAUUGCACAAUGGAGGGAACUCUGAUGCAGCGACUCCGCGUGAACGAAGAAGGCUUUCGAGUCGUAAAGUUCUUUUAUAUGGGAAGAUAAUGACGGUACCAUAAGAAAAAGCCCCGGCUAACUACGUGCCAGCAGCCGCGGUAAUACGUAGGGGGCUAGCGUUGUCCGGAAUCACUGGGCGUAAAGGGUUCGCAGGCGGAAAUGCAAGUCAGGUGUAAAAGGCAGUAGCUUAACUACUGUAAGCAUUUGAAACUGCAUAUCUUGAGAAGAGUAGAGGUAAGUGGAAUUUUUAGUGUAGCGGUGAAAUGCGUAGAUAUUAAAAAGAAUACCGGUGGCGAAGGCGACUUACUGGGCUCAUUCUGACGCUGAGGAACGAAAGCGUGGGUAGCAAACAGG